CAGAGACCUCAAGCGUUAUCCGGAAUCAUUGGGCGUAAAGCGUACCGAUAGGUGGUUUGGAAAGUCAGCUGUGAAAUUCCAGGGCUCAACCCUGGAACUGUCAGCCGAAACUUCUAAACUAGAGGGGCAAAGAGGAAGCUGGAACGAACGGUGUAGUAGUGAAAUGACGUUGAUAUCGUUCGGAACACCAAUAGCGUAGGCAGGCUUCUGGGUGCCACCUGACACUGCUAGGACGAAAGCGUGGGGAGCGAAUGGGAUUAGAUACCCCAGUAGUCCACGCUGUAAACGAUGUACAUUAGGUGCUAGGGAGUAUCGACCCUCUUUAGUGCCAUAGCUAACGCGUUAAAUGUACCGCCUGGGGACGUAGGCCGCAAGGCUA
rnacentral:rRNA from 1 species